rnacentral:rRNA from 1 species
CCUACUGGGGACAUCAUUGAGGCAUCUUGGUCAAUGGGCGAGAGCCUGAACCAGCCAAGUCGCGUGAGGUCUUCCUUCCCUCUUUUUUUUCCCCCUCUUUUUUCUUUUCUCCCAAUCCUUACUUGUCCGGCUGUGAGAGUACCCGAAGAAAAAGCAUCGGCUUACUCCGUGCCAGCAGCCGCUGUAAUACGUCGUAUUCGAUCGUUAUCCGGAUUUUUUGGGUUUAACGGGUGCGCAGGCGGAUUUUUAAGUCAGCGGUCAAAUCGUGGGGCUCAACCCCAUCCAGCCAUUGAAACUGGGGAUCUAGAGUGUGCGAGAGGUAUGCGGAAUGCGUGGUGUAGCGGUGAAAUGCAUAGAUAUCAAGAAGAACCCCGAUUGCGAAGGCAGCAUACAGGUGCACAAAUGACGCUCAGGCACGAAAGCGGGGGUAUCGAACAGGAUUAGAGAAAAGAGGAGUC